UAGAGGAGGAAAAGAAACCAACCGGGAUUGCCUUAGUAACGGCGAGUGAAGCGGCAAAAGCUCAAAUUUGAAAUCUGGUACCUUUGGUGCCCGAGUUGUAAUUUGUAGAAGGUAACUUUGGGGCUGGUCCUUGUCUAUGUUCCUUGGAACAGGACGUCAUAGAGGGUGAGAAUCCCGUGUGGCGAGGAUCCCAGUUCUUUGUAAAGUGCUUUCGAAGAGUCGAGUUGUUUGGGAAUGCAGCUCUAAGUGGGUGGUAAAUUCCAUCUAAAGCUAAAUAUUGGCGAGAGACCGAUAGCGAACAAGUACAGUGAUGGAAAGAUGAAAAGAACUUUGAAAAGAGAGUGAAAAAGUACGUGAAAUUGUUGAAAGGGAAGGGCAUUUGAUCAGACAUGGUGUUUUGCGCCCUCUGCUCCUUGUGGGUGGGGGAAUCUCGCAGCUCACUGGGCCAGCAUCGGUUUUGGCGGCAGGAUAAAUCUGCAGGAAUGUAACUUGCCUCGGUAAGUAUUAUAGCCUGUAGGAAUACUGCCAGCUGGGACUGAGGACUGCGACUUUACGUCAAGGAUGCUGGCAUAAUGGUUAUAUGCCGCCCGUCUUGA
rnacentral:rRNA from 1 species